rnacentral:tRNA from 3 species
CGGGGUGUAGCGCAGUCUGGUAGCGCACCUGCCUUGGGCGCAGGGGGCCGGAGGUUCGAAUCCUCUCACCCCGACCA